UUAAGCGACUAAGCGUACACGGUGGAUGCCCUGGCAGUCAGAGGCGAUGAAGGACGUGCUAAUCUGCGAUAAGCGUCGGUGAGGUGAUAUGAACCGUUAUAACCGGCGAUUUCCGAAUGGGGAAACCCAGUGUGUUUCGACACACUAUCAUUAACUGAAUCCAUAGGUUAAUGAGGCGAACCGGGGGAACUGAAACAUCUAAGUACCCCGAGGAAAAGAAAUCAACCGAGAUUCCCCCAGUAGCGGCGAGCGAACGGGGAGGAGCCCAGAGCCUGAAUCAGUGUGUGUGUUAGUGGAAGCGUCUGGAAAGGCGCGCGAUACAGGGUGACAGCCCCGUACACAAAAAUGCACAUACUGUGAGCUCGAUGAGUAGGGCGGGACACGUGGUAUCCUGUCUGAAUAUGGGGGGACCAUCCUCCAAGGCUAAAUACUCCUGACUGACCGAUAGUGAACCAGUACCGUGAGGGAAAGGCGAAAAGAACCCCGGCGAGGGGAGUGAAAAAGAACCUGAAACCGUGUACGUACAAGCAGUGGGAGCCUCUUAAUGGGGUGACUGCGUACCUUUUGUAUAAUGGGUCAGCGACUUAUAUUCUGUAGCAAGGUUAACCGAAUAGGGGAGCCGAAGGGAAACCGAGUCUUAACUGGGCGUUAAGUUGCAGGGUAUAGACCCGAAACCCGGUGAUCUAGCCAUGGGCAGGUUGAAGGUUGGGUAACACUAACUGGAGGACCGAACCGACUAAUGUUGAAAAAUUAGCGGAUGACUUGUGGCUGGGGGUGAAAGGCCAAUCAAACCGGGAGAUAGCUGGUUCUCCCCGAAAGCUAUUUAGGUAGCGCCUCGUGAAUUCAUCUCCGGGGGUAGAGCACUGUUUCGGCAAGGGGGUCAUCCCGACUUACCAACCCGAUGCAAACUGCGAAUACCGGAGAAUGUUAUCACGGGAGACACACGGCGGGUGCUAACGUCCGUCGUGAAGAGGGAAACAACCCAGACCGCCAGCUAAGGUCCUAAAGUCAUGGUUAAGUGGGAAACGAUGUGGGAAGGCCCAGACAGCCAGGAUGUUGGCUUAGAAGCAGCCAUCAUUUAAAGAAAGCGUAAUAGCUCACUGGUCGAGUCGGCCUGCGCGGAAGAUGUAACGGGGCUAAACCAUGCACCGAAGCUGCGGCAGCGACACUAUGUGUUGUUGGGUAGGGGAGCGUUCUGUAAGCCUGCGAAGGUGUGCUGUGAGGCAUGCUGGAGGUAUCAGAAGUGCGAAUGCUGACAUAAGUAACGAUAAAGCGGGUGAAAAGCCCGCUCGCCGGAAGACCAAGGGUUCCUGUCCAACGUUAAUCGGGGCAGGGUGAGUCGACCCCUAAGGCGAGGCCGAAAGGCGUAGUCGAUGGGAAACAGGUUAAUAUUCCUGUACUUGGUGUUACUGCGAAGGGGGGACGGAGAAGGCUAUGUUGGCCGGGCGACGGUUGUCCCGGUUUAAGCGUGUAGGCUGGUUUUCCAGGCAAAUCCGGAAAACCAAGGCUGAGGCGUGAUGACGAGGCACUACGGUGCUGAAGCGACAAAUGCCCUGCUUCCAGGAAAAGCCUCUAAGCAUCAGGUAACAUCAAAUCGUACCCCAAACCGACACAGGUGGUCAGGUAGAGAAUACCAAGGCGCUUGAGAGAACUCGGGUGAAGGAACUAGGCAAAAUGGUGCCGUAACUUCGGGAGAAGGCACGCUGAUAUGUAGGUGAAGCGACUUGCUCGUGGAGCUGAAAUCAGUCGAAGAUACCAGCUGGCUGCAACUGUUUAUUAAAAACACAGCACUGUGCAAACACGAAAGUGGACGUAUACGGUGUGACGCCUGCCCGGUGCCGGAAGGUUAAUUGAUGGGGUUAGCGGUAACGCGAAGCUCUUGAUCGAAGCCCCGGUAAACGGCGGCCGUAACUAUAACGGUCCUAAGGUAGCGAAAUUCCUUGUCGGGUAAGUUCCGACCUGCACGAAUGGCGUAAUGAUGGCCAGGCUGUCUCCACCCGAGACUCAGUGAAAUUGAACUCGCUGUGAAGAUGCAGUGUACCCGCGGCAAGACGGAAAGACCCCGUGAACCUUUACUAUAGCUUGACACUGAA
rnacentral:rRNA from 2 species